rnacentral:rRNA from 1 species
CAAUAGCGUAUAUUAAAGUUGUUGCAGUUAAAAAGCUCGUAGUUGGAUUUCGGGACGGUCCGGCUGGUCCGCCGCAAGGCGUGUUACUGACCGGGCUGUCCUUCUUUGCAAAGGCUGCAUGUGCUCUUAACUGAGUGUGUGUAGGAUUUGUGACGUUUACUUUGAAAAAAUUAGAGUGUUCAAAGCAGGCCAGCGCUUGAAUACAUAAGCAUGGAAUAAUGGAAUAGGACUUUGGUUCUAUUUUGUUGGUUUCUGGAACCGAAGUAAUGAUUAAAAGGGACAGUUGGGGGCAUUUGUAUUUCGGUGCUAGAGGUGAAAUUCUUAGAUUACCGAAAGACAAACUGCUGCGAAAGCGUCUGCCAAGGAUGUUUUCAUUGA